CACGUAGGGUGCGAGCGUUGUCCGGAAUUAUUGGGCGUAAAGAGCUCGUAGGCGGUGUGUCGCGUCGGCCGUGAAAACCUGCAGCUUAACUGUGGGCUUGCAGCCGAUACGGGCGGGCUAGGAUUCGGUAGGGGAGACUGGAAUUCCUGGUGUAGCGGUGAAAUGCGCAGAUAUCAGGAGGAACACCGGUGGCGAAGGCGGGUCUCUGGGCCGAUAUCGACGCUGAGGAGCGAAAGCGUGGGGAGCGAACAGG
rnacentral:rRNA from 1 species